rnacentral:rRNA from 1 species
UACGUAGGGUGCGAGCGUUGUCCGGAAUUAUUGGGCGUAAAGGGCUCGUAGGCGGUUUGUCGCGUCGGGAGUGAAAUCCACUGGCUUAACUGGUGGCUUGCUUUCGAUACGGGCAGACUGGAGGUAUGCAGGGGAGAACGGAACUCCUGGUGUAGCGGUGAAAUGCGCAGAUAUCAGGAGGAACACCGGUGGCGAAAGCGGCUUCCUGGUCCAGCACCGACGUUCAGGCACGAAAGCGUGGGGAGCAAACAGG